rnacentral:rRNA from 1 species
UUGACCUCGGAUCAGGUAGGGAUACCCGCUGAACUUAAGCAUAUCAAUAAGCGGAGGAAAAGAAACCAACAGGGAUUACCUCAGUAACGGCGAGUGAAGCGGUAACAGCUCAAAUUUGAAAUCUGGCUCUUUCAGGGUCCGAGUUGUAAUUUGUAGACGAUGCUUUGGGUGUGGUGCCGGUCUAAGUUCCUUGGAACAGGACGUCAUAGAGGGUGAGAAUCCCGUAUGUGAUCGGUCGCCUUCGCCCGUGUAAAGCUCGUUCGACGAGUCGAGUUGUUUGGGAAUGCAGCUCAAAAUGGGUGGUAAAUUUCAUCUAAAGCUAAAUAUUGGCCAGAGACCGAUAGCGCACAAGUAGAGUGAUCGAAAGAUGAAAAGCACUUUGGAAAGAGAGUUAAACAGUACGUGAAAUUGUUGAAAGGGAAGCGCUUGCAACCAGACUUGGGCUGUCGCAAUCAUCCGGGGCUCGCCCCGGUGCACUUGUGGCGGCACAGGCCAGCAUCAGUUUCGGUGGUGGGAUAAAGGCCUUGGGAAUGUAGCUUCUUUCGGGGAGUGUUAUAGCCCUCGGUGCAAUGCCGCCUACCGGGACUGAGGACCGCGCUUCGGCUAGGAUGCUGGCGUAAUGGUUGUAAGCGACCCGUCUUGAAACACGGACCAAGGAGUCUAACAUCUAUGCGAGUGUUUGGGUGUCAAACCCAUACGCGUAAUGAAAGUGAACGGAGGUGAGAACCCGUUAGGGUGCAUCAUCGACCGAUCCUGAUGUCUUCGGAUGGAUUUGAGUAAGAGCAUAGCUGUUGGGACCCGAAAGAUGGUGAACUAUGCCUAAAUAGGGUGAAGCCAGAGGAAACUCUGGUGGAGGCUCGCAGCGGUUCUGACGUGCAAAUCGAUCGUCAAAUUUGGGUAUAGGGGCGAAAGACUAAUCGAAC